UCGAAUCCUGCAUAGCAGAACCACUCGAGAACAUGUUAACAAACCCAAGGAGACACCGAAUGUAGGGGAUACCUUGCGCUCGAUUGUCUCCUCACGUUGCCAUGGCAUAUGUCGUGGCGACAAACAAACCCCCGGCGCGAGAAGCGCCAAGGAAUACUUUUAACAAGAUCCUUAACCGUCCUCUCCCGCUCGCGGGGCUUAGGGGAUCGGAGAAGGCUUCUUUCUAAACCAC
rnacentral:misc_RNA from 1 species